rnacentral:rRNA from 1 species
UUCUGGCUCAGGAUGAACGCUAGCUACAGGCUUAACACAUGCAAGUCGAGGGGCAGCAUUGGGAUAGCUUGCUAUUCAGAUGGCGACCGGCGCACGGGUGAGUAACGCGUAUCCAACCUUCCUGCCAGUAGGGAACAGCCCGGCGAAAGUCGGAUUAAUGCCCUAUGUUCUUCAAUGCGGACAUCUAAGUUGAAGGAAAGAUUCAUCGCUGGCAGAUGGGGAUGCGUCCGAUUAGCUUGCCGGCGGGGUAACGGCCCACCGGGGCGACGAUCGGUAGGGGUUCUGAGAGGAAGGUCCCCCACACUGGUACUGAGACACGGACCAGACUCCUACGGGAGGCAGCAGUGAGGAAUAUUGGUCAAUGGGCGUAAGCCUGAACCAGCCAAGUAGCGUGCCAGGAUGACGGCCCUACGGGUUGUAAACUGCUUUUAUGCGGGGAUAAAGUGCGGCACGUGUGCCGCUUUGCAGGUACCGCAUGAAUAAGGACCGGCUAAUUCCGUGCCAGCCGCGGC